GUGGAACCCCUGCACAGAGACGGACACAGGAUGAGCUCUAAGUACCCGCGGUCUGUCCGGCGCUGCCUGCCCCUCUGCGCCCUAACACUGGAAGCAGCUCUCAUUCUCCUCUUCUAUUUUUUUACCCACUAUGACGCUUCCUUAGAGGAUCAAAAGGGGCUCGUGGCAUCCUAUCAAGCUCAGGAAGCUGGGACACAGAGGAAGAGCCAGGCUCUGAACACUGACAACCUGAUUGAGAGACCCACACUGUUCAUCACCGUUACGCUAUAUAUGCUGUAUAGAAAGGCAGGAUGGCAUAAUGGUUAAACCUAGGUAGGUAGGGUUUGAAUCCUCCUGCUACCAUUUACUAGCUCUGUGACUUGGACUAGUUAUAGCACCUCUCUGUGCCUCCCUUUCCCCCUCUCUAAAAUGGGGAUAAUAAAUCGUACCUCCUACCUGAG
rnacentral:lncRNA from 1 species